ACACCCUUUCAGUUAUUCGCUUUUACUAGUGUUAGAGUUGUGUCCCUUAGCCGGAUGUGACGUCAACGGGGGAUAGAAAUUCGCCAGAGAAAAUAAAAUUUUACUGUGUCGCUGAAGAAAUCAACGUCUUUAGCACAAUAUAUGCGAAUCAUCCCAAAUGCUAUGUUCAGAAACAGUGAAGUACCAUGGCUGAACCAGAUCCUGUAACAGAAAAGAAAGUACAACAGUACACGACUGUGAUUGUCAUAAGCUGUAUGCCAAGGAUGUCCCUGGCGCUGUUUUACCGCAACUUCAACCAGAAAGAUGCAAAGUUACAGAGUUGCGAAUAUGGUUGAAAUGCCGGGGACAAGCUGUGAAAUCGAAUGAGACAAAAGCCGAACUUUGCUUGAGGGUAAAGAAAUUCAGUGACAACCAGGAUAACAUCCUAAUUGUGGAUCCUUAUCCAGACCAGCCAUUUGCAGCUAAGCAGAAGUCGUCCUGUAUGAACUGUCAAGGACAAUCAACAGUGUCAACAGCGGAAGAACAUCUUAAUUUGGAAGAAUGCACGUGGACCCAAAGCACCAGACCGAU